rnacentral:rRNA from 1 species
UGGGGAAUAUUGCACAAUGGGCGCAAGCCUGAUGCAGCCAUGCCGCGUGUAUGAAGAAGGCCUUCGGGUUGUAAAGUACUUUCAGCGGGGAGGAAGGUGUUGAGGUUAAUAACCUCAGCAAUUGACGUUACCCGCAGAAGAAGCACCGGCUAACUCCGUGCCAGCAGCCGCGGUAAUACGGAGGGUGCAAGCGUUAAUCGGAAUUACUGGGCGUAAAGCGCACGCAGGCGGUCUGUCAAGUCGGAUGUGAAAUCCCCGGGCUCAACCUGGGAACUGCAUCCGAAACUGGCAGGCUAGAGUCUUGUAGAGGGGGGUAGAAUUCCAGGUGUAGCGGUGAAAUGCGUAGAGAUCUGGAGGAAUACCGGUGGCGAAGGCGGCCCCUGGACAAAGACUGACGCUCAGGUGCGAAAGCGUGGGGAGCAAACA